UGGGGAAUUUUGGACAAUGGGCGAAAGCCUGAUCCAGCAAUGCCGCGUGUGUGAAGAAGGCCUUCGGGUUGUAAAGCACUUUUGUCCGGAAAGAAAUCCUUGGCUCUAAUACAGUCGGGGGAUGACGGUACCGGAAGAAUAAGCACCGGCUAACUACGUGCCAGCAGCCGCGGUAAUACGUAGGGUGCAAGCGUUAAUCGGAAUUACUGGGCGUAAAGCGUGCGCAGGCGGUUUGCUAAGACCGAUGUGAAAUCCCCGGGCUCAACCUGGGAACUGCAUUGGUGACUGGCAGGCUAGAGUAUGGCAGAGGGGGGUAGAAUUCCACGUGUAGCAGUGAAAUGCGUAGAGAUGUGGAGGAAUACCGAUGGCGAAGGCAGCCCCCUGGGCCAAUACUGACGCUCAUGCACGAAAGCGUGGGGAGCAAACAGGAUUAGAUACCCUGGUAGUCCACGCCCUAAAACGAUGUCAACUAGUUGUUGGGGAUUCAUUUCCUUAGUAACGUAGCUAACGCGUGAAGUUGACCGCCUGGGGGAGUACGGUCGCAAGAUUAAAAACUU
rnacentral:rRNA from 1 species